rnacentral:misc_RNA from 1 species
GUUUAUCAUUACACUCAAAAAAGUGAAAGAUUCAGACAAAAAUGUUAUAACAAGUGUAAAUUCUGGCUUGAGCCUGAAGGAAAGGACCGAGAUCCUUUCCGACUUCUCUGACAAGAGAAGUUCAUCCGAACAACUCCCGUCACCAGAUUUGCCUCCAACCCCGAGAGGUUGAAGAGAGACAGAUAUAAAUGCACACAAGGUCAGGUUCGAAAAAACCUAGUUUUGUAAUGAUCCAACCGCAGGUUCACCUACGGUUA